GUUGAGUAGUCUCCCCAGAUGGGUUUGCAUGCAUUACUACUAUUGUUACCUAUGUUAUUGAACUGGGCCUAUGGGCCACACUGUUAUGUAAAAUGGGGCUAAGGCCUUGCUACUGUAUUCUGAAAAAGGCUUCGGUCCACUGUGUACUGUUAUCUGAAUAGGGCUUAGGCCCAAUGGGCUCGAGCUGAUCUGGGCUUUGGAUGGGUUUCAAUAUGCA
rnacentral:lncRNA from 1 species